UCUAGAUUUCCUCAUCUGUAAUUAAUACUGAAGUUCCUUUUCACCUGUAAAGCUAGUAUUUUCCUAUAUGCUUUGUUGGGAAUUUUGAAGUAAUGAAUCCCUGUGGCAUGUUAUAUUAAAUGAGCUGGCAAAGCUCAUGGAAUAGUGAAGUGGUGACACACUUUAUUCAAGAUUAAUCAGAAGUUGAGAAAGCUGAGGACCCUCUGAAAGCUAUUGGCAAUGAAGUUAUUUAUAAGUCAACGCUAAGAAAAGAAUUAUUCCUCCACAGUCCACAGCAUGCAAAUGAGAGCAAGCUUGGCCUUGUGAUUUUUUCUCUCUCUCAUUUUGAAUAAGAUGUUUGGCUUGC
ensembl:lncRNA